rnacentral:misc_RNA from 1 species
UCUUCUCGCACGCCAUCGUCUCGGGGCAGGAGGCACACACCUGGACCAAGCAAAUACAAACAAAAAGAACCAUGGAGACUUGCGACGGCGUAGAUGGCGUCGCCGGCGCGCCGAAGAUGACAGAGUCGCUUAUUUUGCAGCAGUGCCGGACGCACCAGGGCUACUCGACACCUGAGCUCAACGAAAAGCUCUACUUGCACCACCUGGGCUUCACCCAGCUCGACGGCCUCGCAGCCUUCACCGGCUGCGUCGUGCUCUACCUCGACCACAACGCCCUAAGCGACCUUGCCGGGCUCGCGGCGCUUACCCGCCUCGACUCCCUGUACCUUUCCUGCAACGCGCUCUCCCACCUCGACUCGAUGCCUCGGUUGCCGCUCUUGCGCACCUUGGACGUCGCCCAGAACCAGAUUGUGACACUCAACGGCCUCGACGAGGCGGCGCCGCAGCUACAGACGCUGCUGGCAGGACGCAACAAGCUGCAAAGUCUCGAUGGUGUGCAGGGGCUUUCCGGCCUGCUGUCGCUCGAUGUGUCGCACAACUGCAUCGAAGACGAGGAGGCGACGAGUGCCUGUGUGUGCGGCAACCGCGCCACGCUGCGCACCCUGCUGCUUCAUGGAAACGAGCUGUGCCGUCGCACCCCGCACCACCGCAAGCGCUGGAUUGCAGCGUUUCCGGCGCUGCGGUUUCUCGACGAGUACCCCGUUUUCGACGACGAGCGCGCGCGUGCCGAGGCCUUUGCCGGCGGGGGUGCGGCAGCCGAGGCGGAAAUCCGCAGCGCGCAGCGCACUCGUGCCCUCGCCGAAGCGCGAGAGCAGUUCGCGUACUACGGCGAUAUCCGCGAGGCGCAACGCGCUGCCCGGCUCCGCAACGGUGCGGAAACGCAAGCAACCCCGUACUUCCUCGCCCACACACCAAGCAUCAACAAGACGGUUUUGCAGGACGCCGAAGACGAACCCAUCUACAUCCCAGCAACACGCGGCGCUGCCGUUCACCAGGACCCGCUGCGUGGGUGAGUCGCGUGCGAGAAGUUGUUAGUUCAUGCUGGCCAUAGCAACGCAGCUUCUACAUUGUUUGUGUGCUAAGCAUCUUCAUGUACAAGAGACAGAGCUUUG